GUAGGUGGCAAGCGUUGUCCGGAAUUAUUGGGCGUAAAGCGCGCGCAGGCGGUUCUUUAAGUCUGAUGUGAAAGCCCACGGGCUCAACCGUGGAGGGUCAUUGGAAACUGGAGAACUUGAGUACAGAAGAGGAAAGCGGAAUUCCACGUGUAGCGGUGAAAUGCGUAGAGAUGUGGAGGAACACCAGUGGCGAAGGCGGCUUUCUGGUCUGUAACUGACGCUGAGGCGCGAAAGCGUGGGGAGCAAACAGGAUUAGAUACCCUGGUAGUCCACGCCGUAAACGAUGAGUGCUAAGUGUUAAGGGGUUUCCGCCCCUUAGUGCUGCAGCUAACGCAUUAAGCACUCCGCCUGGGGAGUACGGCCGCAAGGCUG
rnacentral:rRNA from 1 species